UAUCAAGAUAUUAAGGGUACACGGUGGAUGCCUUGGCAUUGGCCGCCGAUGAAGGACGUGGUAAGCUGCGAUAAGCUUCGGGUAGCUGCAAACAAGCUUUGAUCCGGGGAUUUCCGAAUGGGACAACCCACCCCUUUUGGGGUAUCAUGCACUUAAUUCAUAGGUGUAUGAGGGUAACGAGGUGAACUGAAACAUCUAAGUAGCCUCAGGAGUAGAAAAUAAUAAUGAUUGCCUUAGUAGUGGUGAGCGAACGGGCAUUAGCCUAAACUGUUUAUGCAUUAUAGCCGGUGCGCGUUUGUGUAGACAGGGUUGUAGGACCUCAUUGACGGUGGUACCGUGCCGUCUAGGAGUUACAAAGCGUGAUUCUAGUGGAAUUGAUCUGGAAAGGUUGAGCCAUAGUGGGUGAUAGCCCCGUACGCGAAAGUUUCAUGCCUCCUUUGGGGUAUCCUGAGUAACAUGGAGCACGUGGAAUUCCAUGUGAAUCUGGGAGGACCAUCUCCCAAGGCUAAAUACGUGCCAAUGACCGAUAGUGAACUAGUACCGUGAGGGAAAGGUGAAAAGCACCCCUAGCGGGGAGUGAAAUAGUCCCUGAAACCCUGUACCUACAACCAGUCGGAGCCACAUUUGUGGUGACGGCGUACCUUUUGUUUAAUGGUCCAGCGAGUUACGCAUGUGCAGCGAGGUUAAGCACUUUAGGUGCGCAGCCGGAGCGAAAGCGAGUCUUAAUCGGGCGUUUUAGUUGCAUGU
rnacentral:rRNA from 1 species